UACGGGGGGGGGUAAGCGUUGUUCGGAAUUACUGGGCGUAAAGGGCUCGUAGGCGGCCAACUAAGUCAUACGUGAAAUCCCUCAGCUUAACUGGGGAACUGCGUGUGAUACUGGAUGGCUUGGAUUUGGGAGAGGGAAUGCGGAAUUCCAGGUGUAGCGGUGAAAUGCGUAGAAUAUCUGGAGGAACACCGGUGGCGAAAGGCGGCCA
rnacentral:rRNA from 1 species